AUCAUUUGGGGAGGUUGUUACAAGGUAGAUUUUGAUUCACGCUCGAGAUUCUGCAUUUCUAACAACCUCCCAGGUGAUGCCAG
rnacentral:pre_miRNA from 1 species